rnacentral:rRNA from 1 species
AGAGUUCGAUUCUGGCUCAGAGUGAACGCUGGCGACGUGGUUAAGACAUGCAAGUCGAGCGGUAUUGAAUCUUGUAGCAAUACGAGAGGAGAGAGAGCGGCGAACGGGUGCGUAACACGUGAGGAACCUGCCUUGAAGUUUGGGAUAGCCCAGGGAAACUUGGAUUAAUACCGGAUGUGGCCGCAAGCGGCAUCGUUUGCGCGCCAAAGCUCGAGAAGGCGCUUCAAGAGGGUCUCGCGGCCUAUCAGCUUGUUGGCGGGAUAAGAGCCCACCAAGGCGAAGACGGGUAGCUGGUCUGAGAGGAUGAUCAGCCACACUGGAACUGAGACACGGUCCAG